rnacentral:rRNA from 1 species
UUACACAUGCAAGUCGAGCGGUAACAUUUCUAGCUUGCUAGAAGAUGACGAGCGGCGGACGGGUGAGUAACGCGUAGGAAUCUGCCUAGUAGUGGGGGACAACAUGUGGAAACGCAUGCUAAUACCGCAUACGCCCUACGGGGGAAAGGAGGGGAUCUCCGGACCUUUCGCUAUUAGAUGAGCCUGCGUGAGAUUAGCUAGUUGGUGGGGUAAAGGCCUACCAAGGCGACGAUCUCUAGCUGGUCUGAGAGGAUGAUCAGCCACACUGGGACUGAGACACGGCCCAGACUCCUACGGGAGGCAGCAGUGGGGAAUAUUGGACAAUGGGCGCAAGCCUGAUCCAGCCAUGCCGCGUGUGUGAAGAAGGCCUUAGGGUUGUAAAGCACUUUCAGGAGUGAGGAAGGGCGUAUAGUUAAUACC